GUACACGCUGUGACUAGCAUAUCAAUAAGCGGAGGAAAAGAAACUAACAAGGAUUCCCCUAGUAACGGCGAGUGAAGCGGGAAGAGCUCAAAUUUGAAAUCUUAAAGGGUUUCCCUUUACGAAUUGUAGUUUAAAGAAGUGUUUUCUGUUGAGGUUUUGGUAAAAGUUCUUUGGAAUAGGACAUCAUAGAGGGUGAGAAUCCCGUAUUUGACCUUUACUUUCAACUUUGUGAUACACUUUCAAAGAGUCGGAUUGUUUGGGAAUGCAGUCCAAAAUGGGUGGUAAAUUUCAUCUAAAGCUAAAUAUUGGCGAAGAGACCGAUAGCGAACAAGUACCGUGAGGGAAAGAUGAAAAGAACUUUGAAAAGAGAGUUAAACAGUACGUGAAAUUGUCAAAAGGGAAGCGUUUGACACCAGUGUUGUUUUUCUGAAAAUCAAUUAAAGAACUGUUUAUGCUAAGCUGUUUAGACUUUAUCAGCUAUCUGUUUAGUUUUGAGCUUUUCUUUAAUGCACUUUUCAGUUAACAAGUCAACAUCAAUUUCUUUUGCUGUAAAAAAGCUUGAGGAAGGUGGCUUGAGAUUCGUCUUAAGUGUUUAUAGCCUCUUGCCUAUGCAGUCGGAGAGAUUGAGGUCUGCAGCGUAGAUCCUUCGAGGCUAAAUGCAUUUGUGCUAAGUUAUAGCAUUUUAUAGACAACUUGUUGACUAUGAUUUGUCUUGUAGCUUACUCGCUUAUGUUAUUUUACCUACGCUUAGGAUGUUGACGCGCGUGUGUGCGUG
rnacentral:rRNA from 1 species